GCGGGAAUGGCGGAAUUGGCAGACGCGCAGGACUUAGGAUCCUGUGUCAUAGACGUGGGAGUUCAAGUCUCCCUUCCCGCACCA
rnacentral:tRNA from 1 species